AUAUCAUCCCCAAGGAUCCCUCCAGUUCCCCUGCAACGUAGAACCCAAAGCCACUUGAGGCCCUCGUGCUGGUCGGGGUAAAGCAUCUUGAAAAUGCUCCCUGGGAGCUUGUAGGGCUUGACCAUUUUGCCGCACCCGGUGGGCUCCAUCUUGAAAUCCUCUGUUUUCUCCCAGCCAACAUCCUUCUCCGUGUCAUCAGCAGCACGGUUCUCCUUCUCCUCGCCGACACCAUCUUUCCUGACUUGGCGCCGCCAUAAGCAAUUGUCGCGGUUUUCUUCCCCUUGUCAUUAG
rnacentral:rRNA from 1 species